AUCUGAAUCUCAGAUUUCA
rnacentral:snRNA from 1 species